rnacentral:rRNA from 1 species
UUACCGGUCGGCGACGCUACUGCUUUGGGUACUUUCAGGACCCGUCUUGAAACACGGACCAAGGAGUCUAACAUGUGCGCGAGUCAUUGGGUUAUCGUUAAAAAAUUUUAUAAACCUAAAGGCGCAAUUAAAGUGAAGCUCGGCCUUUGUGUCGAUCUAGGGAGGAUGAUCCGGGCUCGCCCGGCUCCGCACUCCCGGGGCGUCUCAUGGUCAUUUUGAGCAGAGGCGCACCCAGAGCGUACACGUUGGGACCCGAAAGAUGGUGAACUAUGCCUGGUCAGGACGAAGUCAGGGGAAACCCUGAUGGAGGUCCGUAGCGAUUCUGACGUGCAAAUCGAUCGUCGGAACUGGGUAUAGGGGCGAAAGACUAAUCGAACCAUCUAGUAGCUGGUUCCCUCCGAAGUUUCCCUCAGGAUAGCUGGCACUCGCUUGAUAGCGAGUCUCAUCUGGUAAAGCGAAUGAUUAGAGGCCUUGGGGCCGAAACGACCUCAACCUAUUCUCAAACUUUAAAUGGGUGAGAUCUCUGGCUUGCUUGAACGCUGAAGCCACGAGAUCGUCGUCCCUCUCGGUGCUCGUCACUGAGUGGGGAUGGUGGCGCAUUACGGAUCAGAGUGCCAAGUGGGCCAAUUUUGGUAAGCAGAACUGGCGCUGUGGGA